AACGAACGCUGGCGGCAUGCCUAACACAUGCAAGUCGAACGAGACCUUCGGGUCUAGUGGCGCACGGGUGCGUAACGCGUGGGAAUCUGCCCUUGGGUUCGGGAUAACAGUUGGAAACGACUGCUAAUACCGGAUGAUGACUUCGGUCCAAAGAUUUAUCGCCCAGGGAUGAUCCCGCGUCGGAUUAGCUAGUUGGUGAGGUAAGAGCUCACCAAGGCGACGAUCCGUAGCUGGUCUGAGAGGAUGAUCAGCCACACUGGGACUGAGACACGGCCCAGACUCCUACGGGAGGCAGCAGUGGGGAAUAUUGGACAAUGGGCGAAAGCCUGAUCCAGCAAUGCCGCGUGAGUGAUGAAGGCCUUAGGGUUGUAAAGCUCUUUUACCCGGGAUGAUAAUGACAGUACCGGGAGAAUAAGCCCCGGCUAACUCCGUG
rnacentral:rRNA from 1 species